GUGACUGCGUACCUUUUGUAUAAUGGGUCAGCGACUUAUAUUCUGUAGCAAGGUUAACCGAAUAGGGGAGCCGAAGGGAAACCGAGUCUUAACUGGGCGUUAAGUUGCAGGGUAUAGACCCGAAACCCGGUGAUCUAGCCAUGGGCAGGUUGAAGGUUGGGUAACACUAACUGGAGGACCGAACCGACUAAUGUUGAAAAAUUAGCGGAUGACUUGUGGCUGGGGGUGAAAGGCCAAUCAAACCGGGAGAUAGCUGGUUCUCCCCGAAAGCUAUUUAGGUAGCGCCUCGUGAAUUCAUCUCCGGGGGUAGAGCACUGUUUCGGCAAGGGGGUCAUCCCGACUUACCAACCCGAUGCAAACUGCGAAUACCGGAGAAUGUUAUCACGGGAGACACACGGCGGGUGCUAACGUCCGUCGUGAAGAGGGAAACAACCCAGACCGCCAGCUAAGGUCCCAAAGUCAUGGUUAAGUGGGAAACGAUGUGGGAAGGCCCAGACAGCCAGGAUGUUGGCUUAGAAGCAGCCAUCAUUUAAAGAAAGCGUAAUAGCUCACUGGUCGAGUCGGCCUGCGCGGAAGAUGUAACGGGGCUAAACCAUGCACCGAAGCUGCGGCAGCGACACUAUGUGUUGUUGGGUAGGGGAGCGUUCUGUAAGCCUGUGAAGGUGUACUGUGAGGUAUGCUGGAGGUAUCAGAAGUGCGAAUGCUGACAUAAGUAACGAUAAAGCGGGUGAAAAGCCCGCUCGCCGGAAGACCAAGGGUUCCUGUCCAACGUUAAUCGGGGCAGGGUGAGUCGACCCCUAAGGCGAGGCCGAAAGGCGUAGUCGAUGGGAAACAGGUUAAUAUUCCUGUACUUGGUGUUACUGCGAAGGGGGGACGGAGAAGGCUAUGUUGGCCGGGCGACGGUUGUCCCGGUUUAAGCGUGUAGGCUGGUUUUCCAGGCAAAUCCGGAAAAUCAAGGCUGAGGCGUGAUGACGAGGCACUACGGUGCUGAAGCAACAAAUGCCCUGCUUCCAGGAAAAGCCUCUAAGCAUCAGGUAACAUCAAAUCGUACCCCAAACCGACACAGGUGGUCAGGUAGAGAAUACCAAGGCGCUUGAGAGAACUCGGGUGAAGGAACUAGGCAAAAUGGUGCCGUAACUUCGGGAGAAGGCACGCUGAUAUGUAGGUGAAGCGACUUGCUCGUGGAGCUGAAAUCAGUCGAAGAUACCAGCUGGCUGCAACUGUUUAUUAAAAACACAGCACUGUGCAAACACGAAAGUGGACGUAUACGGUGUGACGCCUGCCCGGUGCCGGAAGGUUAAUUGAUGGGGUUAGCGGUAACGCGAAGCUCUUGAUCGAAGCCCCGGUAAACGGCGGCCGUAACUAUAACGGUCCUAAGGUAGCGAAAUUCCUUGUCGGGUAAGUUCCGACCUGCACGAAUGGCGUAAUGAUGGCCAGGCUGUCUCCACCCGAGACUCAGUGAAAUUGAACUCGCUGUGAAGAUGCAGUGUACCCGCGGCAAGACGGAAAGACCCCGUGAACCUUUACUAUAGCUUGACACUGAACAUUGAGCCUUGAUGUGUAGGAUAGGUGGGAGGCUUUGAAGUGUGGACGCCAGUCUGCAUGGAGCCGACCUUGAAAUACCACCCUUUAAUGUUUGAUGUUCUAACGUUGGCCCGUUAUCCGGGUUGCGGACAGUGUCUGGUGGGUAGUUUGACUGGGGCGGUCUCCUCCUAAAGAGUAACGGAGGAGCACGAAGGUUGGCUAAUCCUGGUCGGACAUCAGGAGGUUAGUGCAAUGGCAUAAGCCAGCUUGACUGCGAGCGUGACGGCGCGAGCAGGUGCGAAAGCAGGUCAUAGUGAUCCGGUGGUUCUGAAUGGAAGGGCCAUCGCUCAACGGAUAAAAGGUACUCCGGGGAUAACAGGCUGAUACCGCCCAAGAGUUCAUAUCGACGGCGGUGUUUGGCACCUCGAUGUCGGCUCAUCACAUCCUGGGGCUGAAGUAGGUCCCAAGGGUAUGGCUGUUCGCCAUUUAAAGUGGUACGCGAGCUGGGUUUAGAACGUCGUGAGACAGUUCGGUCCCUAUCUGCCGUGGGCGCUGGAGAACUGAGGGGGGCUGCUCCUAGUACGAGAGGACCGGAGUGGACGCAUCACUGGUGUUCGGGUUGUCAUGCCAAUGGCACUGCCCGGUAGCUAAAUGCGGAAGAGAUAAGUGCUGAAAGCAUCUAAGCACGAAACUUGCCCCGAGAUGAGUUCUCCCUGACUCCCUGAGAGUCCUGAAGGAACGUUGAAGACGACGACGUUGAUAGGCCGGGUGUGUAAGCGCAGCGAUGCGUUGAGCUAACCGGUACUAAUGAACCGUGAGGCUUAACCUUACAACGCCGAAGCUGUU
rnacentral:rRNA from 1 species